AUUGAACGCUGGCGGCAUGCCUUACACAUGCAAGUCGAGCGGCAGCACGGGAGCAAUCCUGGUGGCGAGUGGCGAACGGGUGAGUAAUAUAUCGGAACGUGCCCAGUCGUGGGGGAUAACGUAGCGAAAGCUACGCUAAUACCGCAUACGAUCUAUGGAUGAAAGCGGGGGAUCGCAAGACCUCGCGCGAUUGGAGCGGCCGAUAUCAGAUUAGGUAGUUGGUGAGGUAAAGGCUCACCAAGCCGACGAGCUGUAGCUGGUCUGAGAGGACGACCAGCCACACUGGGACUGAAACACGGCCCAGACUACUACGGGAGGCAGCAGUGGGGAAUUAUGGACAAUGGGCGCAAGCCUGAUCCAGCAAUGCCGCGUGCAGGAUGAAGGCCUUCGGGUUGUAAACUGCUUUUGUACGGAACGAAACGGCGAGCUCUAAUACAGUUUGCUAAUGACGGUACCGUAAGAAUAAGCACCGGCUAACUACGUGCCAGCCGCCGCCGUAA
rnacentral:rRNA from 1 species